rfam:Gorilla gorilla gorilla genomic chromosome, chr6, whole genome shotgun sequence
GCCGGGUGCAGUGGCUCACGCCGGUAAUCCCACCACUUUGGGAGGCCGAGGUGAGCAGACCACUUGAGGCCAGGAGUUCAGACCAGUCUGGCCAACAUGGCAAAACCCUGUCUCUACUAAAAAUACAAAAAUUAGCUGGGCAUGGUGGNNNNNNNNNNCCACCAUGCCCAGCUAAUUUUUGUAUUUUUAGUAGAGACAGGGUUUUGCCAUGUUGGCCAGACUGGUCUGAACUCCUGGCCUCAAGUGGUCUGCUCACCUCGG